GGUGUUGUGGCUCGGUGGUAGAGCACUUGCCUGGCAUGUGUGAGCCACUGGGUUCGAUCCUCAGCACCA
rnacentral:tRNA from 1 species